rnacentral:rRNA from 1 species
CGAAAGCCUGACGGAGCAAUACCGCGUGCGGGAGGAAGGCCCUUGGGUCGUAAACCGCUUUUCUUAGGGAAGAAACCUGACGGUACCUAAGGAAUAAGCCUCGGCUAACUCCGUGCCAGCAGCCGCGGUAAUACGGAGGAGGCAAGCGUUAUCCGGAAUUAUUGGGCGUAAAGAGUCCGUAGGUGGUUCAUCAAGUCUGCUGUUAAAGCGUGCAGCUCAACUGCAUAUAGGCAGUGGAAACUGUUGAACUAGAGUAUGGUAGGGGUAGGGGGAAUUCCCAGUGUAGCGGUGAAAUGCGUAGAGAUUGGGAAGAACACCGGUGGCGAAAGCGCCCUACUGGGCCAUAACUGACACUGAGGGACGAAAGCUAGGGGAGCG